rnacentral:lncRNA from 1 species
UCAAAAGAAAAAAAAAUUGACUUAGGCCUCUAAAAACUUCGCACGGCACUGGUCGCAGGAACUCCGCAUAUAAAGUUGUGGACGCCUGCUGCUUUCGUUAGAGUGACCGUGUCACUGUGUCAGACCCGGUUCAUAUCUUUCUAAUGCAUUAGAUGGUACACACAACUCAAAAUUGUUGGGGGUGACUUAUUGACGUACGUCGUGGUAGUCUUUGUUGUUUUCGA